CGAGCCGGCCGGGCGGCCGCGUCGGGGUCCUCCGUACGGAGGCCUCGCCGAGGAAGGUCCGGGCUCCACAGGGCAGGGUGGUCGGUAACACCGACCCGGGGUGACCCGCGGGAAAGUGCCACAGAAAGCAGACCGCCUCCGGCGCACGCCAGGAGGUAAGGGUGAAAGGGUGGUGUAAGAGACCACCAGCGUCCGUGGUGACACGGGCGGCUAGGUAAACCCCACCCGGAGCAAGGUCAAGAAGGGAUCCCUCGGGAUCCCGCGCGCGGCGCCUGAGGGUGGCCCGCCCGAGCCGCGCGGGUAGACCGCUUGAGGCCGUCGGCAACGACGGUCCUAGAUGGAUGGCCGCCGGUUCCGCGCCAGCGGAAUCACAGAACCCGGCCUACAGGCCGACUCGUCCG
rnacentral:RNase_P_RNA from 1 species